rfam:Lactobacillus collinoides DSM 20515 = JCM 1123 strain DSM 20515 NODE_167, whole genome shotgun sequence.
CGCGAGUUCAAGCAACGGUUGCUUAACUGCUUCAUAAGCAGAAUUUUGUCGGUUCAACUCCGGCACUCGCAA